rnacentral:rRNA from 1 species
UAGGGAAUCUUCGGCAAUGGACGAAAGUCUGACCGAGCAACGCCGCGUGAGUGAAGAAGGUUUUCGGAUCGUAAAACUCUGUUUUUAGAGAAGAACAAGGACGUUAGUAACUGAACGUCCCCUGACGGUAUCUAACCAGAAAGCCACGGCUAACUACGUGCCAGCAGCCGCGGUAAUACGGAGGUGGCAAGCGUUGUCCGGAUUUAUUGGGUGUAAAGCAAGCGCAGGCGAUUUCUUAAGUCUGAUGUGAAAGCCCCCGGCUCAACCGGGGAGGGUCAUUGGAAACUGGGAGGCUUGAGUGCAGAAGAGGAGAGUGGAAUUCCAUGUGUAGCGGUGAAAUGCGUAGGUAUAUGGAGGAACACCAGUGGCGAAGGCGGCUCUCUGGUCUGUAACUGACGCUGAGGCUCGAAAGCGUGGGGAGCAAACAGG